CACGUAGGCGGGACAGAAAGUCAGAGGUGAAAUCCCAGGGCUCAACCUUGGAACUGCCUUUGAAACCCCUGUUCUUGAGGUCGAGAGAGGUGAGUGGAAUUCCGAGUGUAGAGGUGAAAUUCGUAGAUAUUCGGAGGAACACCAGUGGCGAAGGCGGCUCACUGGCUCGAUACUGACGCUGAGGCGCGAAAGCGUGGGGAGCAAACA
rnacentral:rRNA from 1 species